rnacentral:rRNA from 1 species
GAGUUUGAUCUUGGCUCAGAUUGAACGCUGGCGGCAUGCUUUACACAUGCAAGUCGAACGGCAGCGCGGGGCAACCUGGCGGCGAGUGGCGAACGGGUGAGUAAUAUAUCGGAACGUACCCAAGAGUGGGGGAUAACGUAGCGAAAGUUACGCUAAUACCGCAUACGAUCUAAGGAUGAAAGUGGGGGAUCGCAAGACCUCAUGCUCCUGGAGCGGCCGAUAUCUGAUUAGCUAGUUGGUGAGGUAAAGGCUCACCAAGGCGACGAUCAGUAGCUGGUCUGAGAGGACGACCAGCCACACUGGAACUGAGACACGGUCCAGACUCCUACGGGAGGCAGCAGUGGGGAAUUUUGGACAAUGGGCGCAAGCCUGAUCCAGCAAUGCCGCGUGAGUGAAGAAGGCC